GACGAACGCUGGCGGCGUGCUUAACACAUGCAAGUCGAACGGAAAGGCCCUGCUUUUGUGGGGUGCUCGAGUGGCGAACGGGUGAGUAACACGUGAGUAACCUGCCCUUGACUUUGGGAUAACUUCAGGAAACUGGGGCUAAUACCGGAUAGGAGCUCCUGCUGCAUGGUGGGGGUUGGAAAGUUUCGGCGGUUGGGGAUGGACUCGCGGCUUAUCAGCUUGUUGGUGGGGUAGUGGCUUACCAAGGCUUUGACGGGUAGCCGGCCUGAGAGGGUGACCGGCCACAUUGGGACUGAGAUACGGCCCAGACUCCUACGGGAGGCAGCAGUGGGGAAUAUUGCACAAUGGGCGGAAGCCUGAUGCAGCAACGCCGCGUGCGGGAUGACGGCCUUCGGGUUGUAAACCGCUUUCGCCUGUGACGAAGCGUGAGUGACGGUAAUGGGUAAAGAAGCACCGGCUAACUACGUGCCAGCAGCCGCGGUGAUACGUAGGGUGCGAGCGUUGUCCGGAUUUAUUGGGCGUAAAGGGCUCGUAGGUGGUUGAUCGCGUCGGAAGUGUAAUCUUGGGGCUUAACCCUGAGCGUGCUUUCGAUACGGGUUGACUUGAGGAAGGUAGGGGAGAAUGGAAUUCCUGGUGGAGCGGUGGAAUGCGCAGAUAUCAGGAGGAACACCAGUGGCGAAGGCGGUUCUCUGGGCCUUUCCUGACGCUGAGGAGCGAAAGCGUGGGGAGCGAACAGGCUUAGAUACCCUGGUAGUCCGCGCUGUAAACGGUGGGUACUAGGUGUGGGGUCCAUUCCACGGGUUCCGUGCCGUAGCUAACGCUUUAAGUACCCCGCCUGGGGAGUACGGCCGCAAGGCUAAAACUCAAAGGAAUUGACGGGGCCCCGCACAAGCGGCGGAGCAUGCGGAUUAAUUCGAUGCAACGCGUAGAACCUUACCUGGGUUUGACAUGGAUCGGGAGCGCUCAGAGAUGGGUGUGCCUCUUUUGGGGUCGGUUCACAGGUGGUGCAUGGCUGUCGUCAGCUCGUGUCGUGAGAUGUUGGGUUAAGUCCCGCAACGAGCGCAACCCUUGUUCACUGUUGCCAGCACGUUAUGGUGGGGACUCAGUGGAGACCGCCGGGGUCAACUCGGAGGAAGGUGGGGAUGACGUCAAGUCAUCAUGCCCCUUAUGUCCAGGGCUUCACGCAUGCUACAAUGGCUGGUACAGAGAGUGGCGAGCCUGUGAGGGUGAGCGAAUCUCGGAAAGCCGGUCUCAGUUCGGAUUGGGGUCUGCAACUCGACCUCAUGAAGUCGGAGUCGCUAGUAAUCGCAGAUCAGCAACGCUGCGGUGAAUACGUUCCCGGG
rnacentral:rRNA from 1 species